AUUGAACGCUGGCGGCAGGCCUCACACAUGCAAGUCGAACGAGUGGCGGACGGGUGAGUAAUGUCUGGGAAACUGCCUGAUGGAGGGGGAUAACUACUGGAAACGGUCGCUAAUACCGCAUCCCAUCAGAUGUGCCCAGAUGGGAUUAGCUAGUUGGUGGGGUAACGGCGCCCCAAGGCGACGGUCCCUAGCUGUGCUGAGAGGAUGACCAGCCACCCUGGAACUGAGACACGGUCCAGACUCCUACGGGCGGCCGCAGUGGGGAAUAUUGCACAUUGGGCGCAAGCCUGAUGCAGCCAUGCCGCGUGUAUGAAGAAGGCCUUCGGGUUGUAAAGUACUUUCAGCGGGGAGGCGUUACCCGCAGAAGAAGCACCGGCUAACUCCGUGCCAGCAGCCGCGGUAAUAC
rnacentral:rRNA from 1 species